rnacentral:rRNA from 1 species
UACGGAGGGUGCAAGCAUUAAUCGGAUUUAUUGGGCGUAAAGGGCGCGUAGGCGGGUCAGUAAGUCAGAUGUGAAAGCCCGGGGCUCAACCCCGGAAUAGCAUUUGAAACUCCUGGGCUAGAGGGUAGGCGGGGAAAACGGAAUUCCACAAGUAGCGGUGAAAUGCGUAGAUAUGUGGAAGAAUACCAGUGGCGAAGGCGGUUUUCUAGCUUAUACCUGACGCUGAGGCGCGAAAGCAAGGGGAUCAAACAGG